CCUGCUUUUGUUGUGUAAACCAAGUUGUUUUGAUGCUAAUUUGUUGGCAUUUAAAUAAGAAAGCAGAGAGGUUUGUAUCAAAGCAAGGUCACCUCCGGCCUCGCUUGCAUUCAUAGACCAGGUAACUAAGCACACAACUGCAAAAUGGCUUAAUGCAUCGAUCUCUAAUUAAAUAUAUAAUGUGGCUUACGAUACUCUAGACCUUUCCGUCUCUAGCGUUCCUGCUCAUUCCUUCACUUCCAAUAAUACGUCAGACACCUCUAACACCCCUCCCCCUACUAAUAACUGUCUUACUAGAGAACUUUCAAGUUUGGCAUCUGCUACAGAAGUUCAGCAGUUCUCGUAAGCUUGGGGUUCUUUAAUUGUUAGCAGCUGUAAUUGUUUUAGGGCCAUGGACAUUGUUUCUGUUGUUUGCUCUAUUGUACUCUCAAAGGGUAUCAAGCCAUUCAUGUGAGACCUUACGAGAGCUGCUACCCAGCUCUAGCAUCGUGCAAUGUCCAUUUUCUGUAAAUAAGUUCUUUUCCUAUUUGAAGAAAUUCUUAAUGGUUCUUAGUUUUUUUCCUGGUAAUAGGACAUGAUGAUUCUAUGUUUGUGAAACAAACUCUUUUUGCAUUUCCAGACCAAUCGCGAUUUACAAUCCCGCAACUCAACUCUACUGCAACCGACGAGUUAUCACCAAGCCAUCACCAUCUGUAACCAGGUGCUGCGGAUUUGUCGACUCGGAUACGAUCCAGGAACACAGGUGUGCUGUGGGUCGAACCUUUACUCCAAGCCUUGCCCUAAUUUAGCGAUGAGCUGCUGUGGCAUGACUCCUUACUUUUAUACAUCGCAUCAGAUGUGUUGUUCUCGACAAGUGACGUACAAACCACCUGGUGUUAAGUUCCCUCGCUGCUGUGGAAAGGUGUCAUAUGAUCCCAGUAAACAGCUUUGCUGUGGUCAACGGCUGUACCCAAAAUCCUAUUCAUGCGGUGGAUUAACUGCUUACAAACUCUUAACUCAUGAAUGCUGCCGCGACCGCCGUGUUCGACCUAAGGGCUGUUGUAUCCUUAGCAACGUGAAGGGUUCCAAGCCUCCACCCGGCUGCCAGGCCGUGAUUCAGGCUCCUAAUGACAGGGAUCUCAAAGGGCCCGAGUAACAAAAGACACGAGUCUGCAGGAUGGCAUAUCCAACCAUUCUAUUAUACUACUGUCGUCAGUAGCCGAAAUCUUGAGCUUAAUAGCUCUAAAAUGCAGAAUAUUUUCUAGUGUGCAGUUGUUUAUUCUUGCUCCCUCUGAUAAUGGCAUUCCGACAGAUACACUAACCUGAAUUGAAAUGUCAGUCAUCUCCCGCCCUCUAUCAGUCUUAUCGCCCGGGGAUUAGGCUGAGGGAGGAAGACGACUGACAUUUCAGGCUACAGAUACACCAGUGCUUGCUGGGAUUCCUGUGGUCUACGUGAAAAAAGAGAAGGAAAUUAGAUUGAUUCGCAUUUUUGUCAAGUUUCCAACCACUUGCCGGAAGGAACUAUAGUCGGCAGCCAUAGUCAGUUACGUAGCUUUCUUGACUUCGUCGCUCUGUUAAAGCGGAUUCAGUUUUCCUGGUUGAAAGUUUACACGACAAAUGUACCAGGUAAAGAGUCCCCACUGGCUGUGCGGAAUCAGUGCACAAGCGUACAAAUUAUCACCAAGUUGGCAUCGAUGUGGCUUACAGCAGAUCAGAGCUUACUUUACUUGCUUUUGUUAAUGCCACGUAAGUUUGUCAAAGAUAACUUUGUCAAUAAAGACUAAUUUCCCUGCUCUAUAGUGGCUCAGUAGUUCUUCAGAUAUUCCUUGAAAGCUCACAGUUUUCAAAUACAAUUUUUUUUGUUUGUUGUUUAUUGAUCUUUGUUUGCUGCGUGACAUUAGAAACUAUGGCGGCCAUGUUGGUGUCUUGAGCUUUGCAAUCCUGUGGUAUUUGAAAAUCCUGAUUUCAGUUAUUGGUUCGUCAUUUGUUGCAGCUUUACUCAAUUUCGGUUACUCCAAAACUGAGAACAAAUAACCUGUUUUUUUUUCCUUUUUAAAAUAAAUCUAGCCCUUUUUUUAUCACGCCCCGCUCUCGCUCUUCAGGACUGUAAAACUAAAAGAAUCUCUGUUCGGGAAUAUUGGUCUCGCUCUUUAUUCUGAAGACAGGCCGCUGCAGCACUUUAAAAGUUGUACACCAAAACAAGACAUAAUAUCUUGCUUGGCACUAACGUAGCUUGUCCACAGUCCCUCAAUUUUGUCGUGCAGUCGUCGAGAUCAAGGAAGAAAAACACAGGCGUACGGGCACCUUCGGACUUGAGGGGGUAGUGACCUUCUAGCCCGAAAAUUUGACGUAGUGCCCGAAUGUCUGAGUGUUGAAAUCGGGAUGCAAGCGCACUCAAACUUCGUGAAAACCAAAACAUUCACAAUUCCCAUAUUGAAUGAAACUGCUUUAAUUCAAUGACCUCUAUCAACAGUCUCAAUCUAGUAACAUCUAAAACUUAUUAAAAGAAAGAGUUCUUCAAAAAAGUCACUAACUAGAAACUUUAUUUACGAGUUAUACUUAUAGUUAUCAAUGACGCCAUCAGCAUUAUUUUGUAACGUUUUCUCUUAAGAGUCGUGGCCCGAAUCAUAAGCGUUUUGGCCGAAAAAUCACACAAUUUCAAUAUCUCGGGGGGGG